rnacentral:lncRNA from 1 species
GUCUAGAAGGUGAGGACAGUGCUGCGGCCGUGUUUCUGCUGGCUCCGGCCCGAGGCUGUCUCCCAGACAGCUGCUGUCCCACUGAAUUAGGUUCAAGCGAACACGGCCAUUGAGAUCCAAAGUAUUUCUGGCUGGUUUGGGCGUGGGUCCUUUCUCUAGAUGAAUAUUUUAAUGUGGGAAUUCAGAGGAAAGCUAUGGGGAAAGCAGUGUUGGUCAACUGACGACGCUAAAGAACCACCUUCGGUGGUUGUCACGAUGGACUUUCAUCAAAUUCAAAGAAAAAAAAAAGAUUCCACUGGGAUUUAAUUCAGAUUGCAUUUCACCGAAAAAUUACAAGGAUUAACAACAAGGAUUAAUAGCAUUGCUGCAUUCAUUAUGGCAACCCAAGGUUAUGUCUCUCUAUUGACUAUUCUCUUUAAUUAAUCUGUGUAAAAAGUUUGCAUUUUUAAUAUAGGUCUUGGAUAUUUCUUAUUAGUGUUCUUUAUAUUUUUUUCCAAUACUCUUAAGAAUGCAUUUUUCUCCCUAUAUUUUCUGCUUGUUGUUAGAAUAGAAACAGUAUUUAUUUUGGAGAUUUUUGUAUUUUUAUCUUGUAUCUGACCCCUUCCCUAAUUUUUAUGAAUACUAAGAAUUUUACAGUCAGUACUUUUAUAUUAUCUUGGUGCAUAAUCAUAAUGUAGUCUGUAAGUAACAAACAUUUUGUUUCCUUCUUUCUAUUGUAGAGUUUGAGAAGUCGUCAGUGUGUAGUCCUGUUACCUUAAUUGUUUCUGAGUUAUGGGUUGAAUUUAUUUUGAAAUUUCAAAAAACUUCAAAGGGUAGUAUGUUAUUUUUGUGUUAAUCAAAAUGAACAAUGGGUUUCAAAAGCUUGAACAACGUCAUCUUGGGAGUGCCAAAUGAAUAGGAUGUCCUGUAUGUCAGGAGCAUGCCCACACUUUUCUUGCUAGGGUGAGUUUAUUGUCCCUGAUGAAUCCCAGGAGUACUAGUCCAUGAUGCUCUUAUUCCCUGGUGCUUUAACAUGCAGUGCAGCCGGAGUUGGCCUGAACUUUAGGAAAUGAGGUCGUAAGUCGAAAGAACAGGGAAUUGAGAAAGCACACAGAAGCAGCCAGGGCCAACAUUUUCCCCUAAACAAGCCAAUCAACAAAAAGCAAUGCCAAACAAGCCCCUUUGAAACUUUCAAAGUCCUCAUCCUAGUACCUUCCUAGCACUCUAGGAGACAUCUUUCAGCUGUUGAUUUAUGAACGCUGAGAGGCACGUGGAGGAAUUAAUGGAGGUAAAUAUCUAACUUAAAAAAUCUUCAGUAGGCAUUUUUAGACAAUCCUCCUUGAAAGAAAAGUGUGGAUGCUCUGUGCGUGUAUUGACUGCACCUGCAGGGGUAUAGCUGGAGAACACCCAGUGAGCAUCUUCAGGAGCCAAGUCACGCAGGGGCUUAGCUCUCAGUCCAUUGCGACAGUUGCCAUGAUGCCUUCUGACCAUUAAACACUUUGAACUCUUUUCUCUCAUCCUCUGUUAUUUGCUUUGGACCCAUAACAGACUCAUUAGUUAAAAAUAAGAAGCAAAGGUAAUCCUGAUGUUGAAUUACAAGUUAAUGCAGAGCACAGACAUGAAAAUAAUUCUAUGGGUUUGCUGCAGCAUAAUCCUUGCCAGAUCUCCAAGUUCCAUUCAUCUAAUGAAAAGCCUUAGUUUGAAGAACAUUUUGGAGAACUCUUACAUCAAGAGGUCUCCAGUACCUCAAAAACCAGUGUUCAAAAGGAAAAUGCACACGCGCAUUUCAGGGAGGUGGGAAUAAAAGCCUUCCUUUGCGCAGCGUGUUACAUGUGGAAAUGUGGAACGCACACGAUCAUUCUUACUGUUAAAAAACCCCACAAAGAUUAUAAAAAUAUGUCAGUUUUUUUUUGGUGCAAAAACUCACACGAUUAAAAAUAUUAUACUAUGAAAGCAG